UACGUAGGGGGCGAGCGUUGUCCGGAUUUAUUGGGCGUAAAGAGCGCGUAGGUGGUUUGUAAAGUCGGAUGUGAAAGUCCAGGGCUUAACCCUGGGAUGCCAUUCGAUACUUGCAGACUAGAGCAUGGUAGGGGGAUCUGGAAUUCCUGGUGUAGCGGUGAAAUGCGCAGAUAUCAGGAGGAACACCGGUGGCGAAGGCGGCUAUCUGGACAGAGUCUGACGCUGAUGCGCGAAAGCUAGGGGAGCAAACAGG
rnacentral:rRNA from 1 species